rnacentral:rRNA from 1 species
GUAGGUGGCAAGCGUUGUCCGGAAUUAUUGGGCUUAAAGCGCGCGCAGGCGGUCCUUUAAGUCUGAUGUGAAAGCCCACGGCUCAACCGUGGAGGGUCAUUGGAAGCUGGGGGACUUGAGUACAGAAGAGGAAAGCGGAAUUCCAAGUGUAGCGGUGAAAUGCGUAGAGAUUUGGAGGAACACCAGUGGCGAAGGCGGCUUUCUGGUCUGUAACUGACGCUGAGGCGCGAAAGCGUGGGGAGCAAACAGGGAUUAGAUACCCUGGUAGUCCACGCCGUAAACGAUGAGUGCUAAGUGUUAGGGGGUUUCCGCCCCCUUAGUGCUGCAGCUAACGCAUUAAGCACUCCGCCUGGGGAUACGGCCGCAAGGCUG